UACGAAGGGGGCUAGCGUUGUUCGGAAUCACUGGGCGUAAAGGGCGCGUAGGCGGCUUUAUAAGUCGGGGGUGAAAGCCUGUGGCUCAACCACAGAAUUGCCUUCGAUACUGUAGAGCUUGAGACCGGAAGAGGUAAGUGGAACUGCGAGUGUAGAGGUGAAAUUCGUAGAUAUUCGCAAGAACACCAGUGGCGAAGGCGGCCAACUGGUCCGGUACUGACGCUGAGGUGCGAAAGCGUGGGGAGCAAACAGG
rnacentral:rRNA from 1 species